GAUGUGGGAAGGCACAGACAGCCAGGAUGUUGGCUUAGAAGCAGCCAUCAUUUAAAGAAAGCGUAAUAGCUCACUGGUCGAGUCGGCCUGCGCGGAAGAUGUAACGGGGCUAAACCAUGCACCGAAGCUGCGGCAGCGACACUAUGUGUUGUUGGGUAGGGGAGCGUUCUGUAAGCCUGUGAAGGUGGCCUGUGAGGGUUGCUGGAGGUAUCAGAAGUGCGAAUGCUGACAUAAGUAACGAUAAAGCGGGUGAAAAGCCCGCUCGCCGGAAGACCAAGGGUUCCUGUCCAACGUUAAUCGGGGCAGGGUGAGUCGACCCCUAAGGCGAGGCCGAAAGGCGUAGUCGAUGGGAAACAGGUUAAUAUUCCUGUACUUGGUGUUACUGCGAAGGGGGGACGGAGAAGGCUAUGUCAGCCGGGCGACGGUUGUCCCGGUUUAAGCAUGUAGGCGGAGGUUCCAGGUAAAUCCGGUACCUUAUUAACGCUGAGGUGUGAUGACGAGGCACUACGGUGCUGAAGUGAUAAAUGCCCUGCUUCCAGGAAAAGCCUCUAAGCAUCAGGUAACACGAAAUCGUACCCCAAACCGACACAGGUGGUCAGGUAGAGAAUACUAAGGCGAUCGAGAGAAUCAUGGUUAAGGAACUCGGCAAAAUGCCCCCGUAACUUCGGGAGAAGGGGGGCCCCAACCUUGAGCACCACGUGCUGGUGUGAGGGGAUCGGGGCCGCAGAGACCAGGGGGAAGCGACUGUUUAUCAAAAACACAGGUCCAUGCGAAGUCGUAAGACGAUGUAUAUGGACUGACUCCUGCC
rnacentral:rRNA from 1 species